AGUUUUAGUGGUAGAGCACUUGCCUGGCAUGCAAAAGGCCUGGGUUCAAUUCCCAG
rnacentral:tRNA from 1 species